rnacentral:lncRNA from 1 species
UCAGCUCGGUGAUGCUUUUAAGACGUUUUAUAUUUUUUCCAACACGUAUAGCUGUUUUCUCCUGAUGAGUUGGUUCAACUAAACCAGCUCCACCUAAACUACCUUAAUCAUUUUAAAUUCAUGGUCAUUACCUUCAAGGGGGCAUAAGGGCUGCCUGGUAAUACUGCUCCACUUCUCUGAUCCAUUCUCCCACCCGUCUGGAAGACUCUCACAUCUUUCUUUUUUCCUACUUUCUUCAGAUCUCUUUUCCCAUUACACCUUGUGAGGGAGACCCUGGUGUGAAACCCUGAACGUGCUGAUGCAAGCAGAGGUGUGAAAACGUGCUUGGGUGUUUCCACUUCUGCUGUCUUGGACCCCACUUCUGCCAUGAGAACAUGCACAGCUUGCAUGCUGGAGGGAUGUGGAAGAUGCACAGAGAAGAGCUGAGUGAUCUCGGUGGAGGCCAUCCUAGACCAGCCAGCCCCCAGCGAGCUUGUCAGGGGCAGCAGAUGGCUGAGCGAGCCCAGCUGAGGCUCGCCAAGUCCAGCCCAGAUCAGCGGAACCAUCCAAGCAGCCUGUGGACUGGUGAGGAAUAAUAUAUGAAUUGCAGCUGUUUUAAGCCAUGAAGGAUUAGUUUGUUAUGCUGCAAUUGUGGAUUGAUAGAUGAUGUAAGCAGAAAACAAUCUUUGCCACCUGCUCUGUGGAUUAUUUCUGGCUCCUGGAUAAAAAUCCCAAGUUUGGGGGAGGGCUAGAGUGAGUUCUUGUUCGUGUCCAUGUUCACGUUAAUGUUCACCACCAGUUACUUUCAAGUGUAAGAACCAUCUCUGUUAAGUAAUUAGGAUGCCCAGUCCGGUGUAACAAUCAAAACGUCAAAACUUUAUCAAAGAUAGAAGGUUCUCCCCUCUGCUGGCUGAGAAUGGUGGUGGGGAGGAGGAUGCGGUUGGAGUCUCUGUCUCCUUGCCCAGCCUCAUCAGGCAGUUGGAGCCAAGCAGGAGGGACAAACAAAGACGCCUGUGGCAGGUGCAGUUCCCUUCCUACACUAGUGCUCAGUGGCCCCGGUGGCUUUUCAAACCCGGCUCGCCUCCUCUGGCCUCCUUCCGUGUGCUUCUUAGCCCUCUUCCACCAGAACCUCCAACACAAUCCCCAUAAUGUGUGUGAUGCCUUCUAUUCUUUAAAAUGCACUUCAUACAUGACAUAUGCAGAAAAGCAAUCAAAUCAUGUUGUAAACUUUGUGACACAUUUUCACAAGGUGAACACACUGUAUGGCCACCCCCAGACCAAGAACCCUGAACACCACGAGGGUCCCAGAAGCCCCUUCCUCUCCUCUCUGUUACACCCACCCUCAUCCCCUGUCCUAACUUCUAACCUACAGAUAAACAAUUGAAUCGUUUUCUUUGACCAACCUGGUUGGCCUUUGCCAGGACAGAAUGCCCUCUGCCAGCUCUCAAAGAAUCAGCUUACCCCAAAAUAUGCAAACAAAAUGUCACUGUUCCCAGACUGAGAAAUCUUGUUGCUGUCUUUGUUCCUUGACUCAGGCCCCCAUCUGUCCACUUACAUGUGAGCCAACAAAUCAUUCGCAAAGUCACCUAACCGUGAGCAAAGGAACAUCUCUGAAUUAUUCUUUGACAAAUAGCUACUCCCAGACAGCUUACAAAAUGAAACAGCAUACUAAAU